rnacentral:rRNA from 1 species
AUGGCUGCCAGUGUCCACCAUCUCCUUGUGCUGCUCCUAGCCUUCACAGCCUUCAAUGGCAGCUCUGCGGCAUCUCGUCCUCUUUUGGACACGGCAGCUGCACCAGAGGCCACACCAGCUCAGCGUUCUACACCGGAAGCUCCAACAACACCGCCUCCAAUGCCUUCCAUUCCCGCAGUUCCGAAACUGACAAUGCCGCCAAUACCAUUCAUUCCUAUCCCGAAGGUCGCCAUGGCACCAACCGCCCCUGGCACAGUUCCAUCUCUUCCGAUUCCGGCGAUCCCAACCACCAUGCCGACCAUUCCUACUUUGCCUGUUACCAUGCCACCAAUGCCCUCAGUUCCAAUUACCAUUCCAUCCAUUCCGAUCACAAUACCAACAACUAUCCCUACCAUUCCUGGGUUCCAGAUGCCACCUAUUCCAUUCAUGUCCCCACCUCCGCAAACCACCAGCCCAUGA